UGGCCAUGCGAAUUCAUGGCCAUUGAUGGAGGCAUUGGUGGACGAUUUACCAUGAGAUUUUGCUGACCUAGCAUCUGUGGCAUGGGAGGAGGUGGGGGCCGAACCUGAGGAAUCAUGUUAACCAUAGGAGGUCGAGGUGAAGGCAGAGCAGCAACCCCAGCACCGGUGGAGGUGGAAUACUGGACGGUAUUAGGAGGCCUAGGAAUAUUCACUGUGGCAUGGGAGGAGGUGGGGGCCGAGCCUGAGGAAUCAUGUUGACCAUAGGAGGUCGAGGUGGAGGUGGAGCAGGAACCCCAGCACCAGUGACGAUGGAAUACUGGACGGUAUUAGGAGGCCUGGGAAUAUUCAGCACAAGCCCAGGAGGUGGAGGUAGUGGCCUAACAGAUGGAAAACCAGGUCUCGGAGGUGGAGGAGCCUGCGGACCAGGAAGGUUUCUUUCAUCAUUUGCAGCAUCGUUCUGAUCAUCUGCAUUAGUGUUCUGAGACAUUGCCUGGCUUG
rnacentral:lncRNA from 1 species